rnacentral:misc_RNA from 1 species
CCAGCAAUGUAUAUGGGGUGCCUCGUUAAUGGAACUUUGUCAGUUUUGAUGGUUAAAGCUUAAAAAUGUUAGUGCUAUGAAUAUAAGAAAUAAACAGUCAAUUUAGAGAAGAUGCAGUGGAGCUGUUUGUUCUGAGUGCAUCUUUAGAUACUAUGGAUGGGUCUAACAGAUACUAUGGAUGAAUAUAAAAAUGUUAGUGCUGUUUGUUUGUGCUGCUUGUUCGCAAAGGUCUAACAGAUCCAGGGUCUGUACAACAACCACAAUAAGCCUUUCAGAACCCAACUUUGAUUCAUACAACAAGUUCUCAUUCAAAUAGAUGACGAUGACAAAGAACAAGGCAACAUGUAAAUCUUCAUCUUACCUCAGGAACUGAGAGUUCAAGACG